rnacentral:rRNA from 1 species
UAAGCAUAUCAAUAAGCGGAGGAAAAGAAACUAACAAGGAUUCCCCUAGUAACUGCGAGUGAAGCGGGAAAAGCUCAAAUUUAAAAUCUGGCGGUCUUUGGCUGUCCGAGUUGUAAUCUAGAGAAGUGUUAUCCGCGCUGGACCGUGUACAAGUCUCCUGGAAUGGAGCGUCAUAGAGGGUGAGAAUCCCGUCUUUGACACGGACUGCCAGGGCUUUGUGAUGCGCUCUCAAAGAGUCGAGUUGUUUGGGAAUGCAGCUCAAAAUGGGUGGUAAAUUCCAUCUAAAGCUAAAUAUUGGCGAGAGACCGAUAGCGAACAAGUACCGUGAGGGAAAGAUGAAAAGAACUUUGGAAAGAGAGUUAAACAGUACGUGAAAUUGCUGAAAGGGAAACGCUUGAAGUCAGUCGCGUUGUCCAGGGAUCAACCUUGCUUUUGCUUGGUGCACUUUCUGGUUGACGGGUCAGCAUCAAUUUUGACUAUUGGAAAAAGAUUAGGGGAAUGUGGCAUCUUCGGAUGUGUUAUAGCCCUUGGUUGUAUACAAUGGUUGGGAUUGAGGAACUCAGCACGCCGCAAGGCCGGGUUUUUAACCACGUACGUGCUUAGGAUGCUGGCAUAAUGGCUUUAAUCGACCCGUCUUGAAACACGGACCAAGGAGUCUAACAUGCCUGCGAGUGUUUGGGUGGAAAACCCGAGCGCGUAAUGAAAGUGAAAGUUGAGAUCCCUGUCGUGGGGAGCAUCGACGCCCGGACCAGACCUUUUGUGACGGUUCCGCGGUAGAGCAUGUAUGUUGGGACCCGAAAGAUGGUGAACUAUGCCUGAAUAGGGUGAAGCCAGAGGAAACUCUGGUGGAGGCUCGUAGCGAUUCUGACGUGCAAAUCGAUCGUCAAAUUUGGGUAUAGGGGCGAAAGACUAAUCGAACCAUCUAGUAAGCUGGUUCCUGCCGA